CCUGAGCUUUUGGAAGUAAAAUGCCACAGUGUGUGUGUGAGUGUGUGAGUGUGUGGGUGUGUGUGUUACAGGGGUAGAUUUUAUGAAGAUAUUUGCCCCAGCUCCCCCCUGGAUUUUGCCCUUGCUACACUGUGGUGAAUCUCCUCUUCUAUCUGUGCAGUCUGUCUGUCACUUAAUUAGUUUCACCUGGUGCCACCUGGUGUUCAUCAGUCUGACUGGCCUCACCUGGUGUCCUGGGUUUGAACACCCCUCUCCUCUCCUUCACCCACUCUUUGUUCUCUUUGACUACAGUUCUCCUGUUCUUAUCUCCUGUGUUCCUGCCUGGUCCUUGGUCUCGGCUCCACUCCGUGUCCAUGUGAUAGUCCAGCAGCUGUGUACCGUGGACUGGAGGAAUGUGCACGUGCUGGCGUGUGCACGUGGUUGGCCCAGAGCUCACAGGGACGCUCCGUAUGGGGUUUUAAGGAUAAGUGGCCUCCACGCUGAGCCGACGCAGCGUGAACGCCGAGUCUGAAGAGGAGUGUGUCAGUCAACACUGCUGAGGCUGAGGAGCUGUGCUGGAAUGGAGAGUGUCUGGAAUUCAACCCUCCCUCACCGUUUGGUCCAAACAGAAGGCAGUGAAUGUGCAGCGUGUGCAGGAUUCAGCUCAUUCACCGGCCGAAUAAUUGAAGUCUCACCGACUCCUCGUCCCCCCCCGGGUGUCCUUCACGUACGGCGUUCGCAGCUUAUGUUUGUGCCUGUGUGCGGCGGUCGGCACGUGCAGUGAAGGAAGUUUUGUGGCAGAAAAACUUUCAGCAUUUACUGAUACGUCACUUCUAAAACUUUAGUCCGUUUCACACGGCUGUUCAUGGAGGACUGACUGAAGCAGUGACAGCGGAGAACUGCUUUUUCUAAUAUGAAAAUGUAUUUUUAUGAUGUGAAAAAUCCAUGAUAUGCUAUAAAAGUGACAUGUAAAAGUAUUAUAUGAAUAUUUAAUGUGACACUGUCGUGUUCUUCGUUGUCUUAAAGUCUUGAAACUGGCCUUGUUUUUCCAGACGGUUUGAUUCACAAACAUCUGUUAUCGAUGGUGGAACUUUGUGCUAGGGUAAGACGUGGUACAGUUCUGUUGAACUGAGACUGUCAGGUGUCUUUGACACUUCCUGUCUCCUAGUCCUUCCUCCCUGCUGCUGCAGUGUUCAGCACCUGCUCAGUCUCCUCUAGGAGGCAGCGUCAGGCCCUCCUGACUGGUGCCUCUGUGAACCCUGUGUCACAGCAGGUACUAACCAGUCAGGACGGUUCCUCUCUGCUGUCAGUGGAAUUCCCUGAGCUUCUUUAAAGAGAAGCUGAACUUUGGUGGUUCGUCUUUGUGAUGUUACCUUUAGAGUCUUCUGCUUCUGCACAUUGUAGUGUGGCCGGCUGCCACAGCCAGGGUCAAAGCAAAAGAAAUGAGAAAAAAAUAGAAAAAAAAGUUGACUUUCCCAUUCAAAAAUUGAAACAUUACCUGGAUCUCUUUGGCAUGUACGGUGGUUAGUCGUCCUUUGUAAACUUUAGGUCAGAGUUUAUGUCGAGUGUUGAAAAACGUCGCCCCCCGCUGAUGAGAUCGGAGAUGCAUUUCAGGCUAGGCACUGAAAUGUCAGAAGUCUGUCUGGUUCCCAGUUACACAGAAGAAGUAGAGACAUGGUUUAGAACUGCAGUAUCAUGAACAGUGUACCACCCCUGGCCCCCGCCCCUCACAUUAAAAACAGAAUAUUAUCUUACCCACAAUACAGUGAGCCAUGUUAACCAGCCCUGGGCACCUUAUUUACACCUUUUGUCUGUAUAACGUAUAUAGUAUUUUUCAUUGAAGUAUUUUGUCUAACAUUAUAUACUCACAGAGUAAUAUUCAUUAUACGUGUUGGUGCUCCUGGCAGUAAACCCUGAUUCUGAUACAGGUCUGUUGAAUCCCUGCCUUUAAUAUUUUGCACUCGUCCACUCGUCUGCCACCGUCACUCUGUGCCAAAUCACACAUGCUGUAAAGCUGUUGGCACCUUGGACAUUUGUAGUGAUUCUAUU